GUGCCUUUUUCUCCACAACCAGCUUUGUUAACAGCGUGAAGACUAGAAGAAAAAGAAUGGAAGAAAGAAGUGAAAGAGAAACAAAUAGGGAAGGGGAUCCCUCGGAUGACUGGGAAGGAAAGGAAAACCAGAAAAAGCAGUCAGGAUGAAUGCCUGACAAAAAACUCUGCUGCAGUGACACUUUGACAUGAAGCAGAUUCAAACUUUCUAUGACUGAACAGGACAUUUUCCAUUUAUUGCUCCUUUGAUACCCAAGCUCCUCAAUGGGGGUAUUCUUCAAUGAGACACUUUUACCAGUGACCAUAUUCUUGCUUGUUGGUUUCUUUUUUUUUUAAAGUAUGUUGCUG
rnacentral:lncRNA from 1 species